AUAUCAAUAAGCGGAGGAAAAGAAACCAACAGGGAUUGCCUUAGUAACGGCGAGUGAAGCGGCAACAGCUCAAAUUUGAAAUCUGGCCCUUGGGUCCGAAUUGUAAUUUGUAGAGGAUGAUUUUGGUGCGGUAUCUUCCGAGUUCCUUGGAACAGGACGCCUUAGAGGGUGAGAGCCCCGUACGGUUGAAUGCCUAGCCUCUGUAAAUCUCCUUCGACGAGUCGAGUAGUUUGGGAAUGCUGCUCUAAAUGGGAGGUAAAUUUCUUCUAAAGCUAAAUAUUGGCCAGAGACCGAUAGCGCACAAGUAGAGUGAUCGAAAGAUGAAAAGCACUUUGAAAAGAGGGUUAAAUAGCACGUGAAAUUGUUGAAAGGGAAGGAUUUGUGACCAGACUUUUUCUGGGCGGAUCAUCCGGGGUUCUCUCCGGUGCACUUCGCCCAGUAAAGGCCAGCAUCGGUUUUCGGCGUGGGAUAAAAGCAGUAGGAAUGUGGCUCUCUACGGGGAGUGUUAUAGCCUAUUGUAUAAUACCGCGCUGGGGACCGAGGUUCGCGCUUCUGCAAGGAUGCUGGCGUAAUGGUUAUCAAUCACCCGUCUUGAAACACGGACCAAGGAGUCGAACAUUUGUGCGAGUGUUUGGGUGUUAAACCCUCACGCGUAAUGAAAGUGAACGGAGGUGAGAGCCCUUACGGGUGCAUCAUCGACCGAUCCUGAAGUUUUCGGAUGGAUUUGAGUAAGAGCAUAACUGUUCGGACCCGAAAGAUGGUGAACUAUGCGUGGAUAGGGUGAAGCCAGAGGAAACUCUGGUGGAGGCUCGCAGCGGUUCUGACGUGCAAAUCGAUCGUCAAAUCUGCGCAUGGGGGCGAAAGACUAAUCGAACCAUCUAGUAGCUGGUU
rnacentral:rRNA from 1 species